rnacentral:rRNA from 1 species
GACGAACGCUGGCGGCGUGCUUAACACAUGCAAGUCGUACGGUAAGGCCCUUUCGGGGGUACACGAGUGGCGAACGGGUGAGUAACACGGGAGUAACCUGCCCACAACUUUGGGAUAACGCUAGGAAACUGGUGCUAAUACUGGAUAUGUGCUCCUGCUGCAUGGUGGGGGUUGGAAAGCUCCGGCGGUUGUGGAUGGACUCGCGGCCUAUCAGCGUGUUGGUGGGGUAGUGGCCUACCAAGGCGGCGACGGGUAGCCGGCCUGAGAGGGUGACCGGCCACAUUGGGACUGAGAUACGGCCCAGACUCCUACGGGAGGCAGCAGUGGGGAAUAUUGCACAAUGGGCGCAAGCCUGAUGCAGCAACGCCGCGUGCGGGAUGACGGCCUUCGGGUUGUAAACCGCUUUCAGCAGGGACGAAGCUUUUUGUGACGGUACCUGCAGAAGAAGCACCGGCUAACUACGUG